UACAGAGGGGGCAAGCGUUGUUCGGAAUUACUGGGCGUAAAGGGCGCGUAGGCGGCCUGCUAAGUCGAACGUGAAAUCCCCGGGCUCAACCCGGGAACUGCGUCCGAUACUGGCAGGCUUGAAUUCGGGAGAGGGAUGCAGAAUUCCAGGUGUAGCGGUGAAAUGCGUAGAUAUCCGGAGGAAUACCGGUGGCGAAGGCGGCAUCCUGGACCGACAUUGACGCUGAUGAGCGAAAGCUAGGGGAGCAAACGGG
rnacentral:rRNA from 1 species